AACCUUUUGUAUUCGUGCUAAGAUUUCAUCAGCAAUCAGUCUGUUGCGUUGGAGUCGAUGAAACUUCCGAAAUAUGUGAAGUG
rnacentral:pre_miRNA from 1 species